rnacentral:tRNA from 1 species
GCCUCCGGACCCAGCUGGCGACGGGACUCGACUGUCGAUCGAGCAUUGGCGGGUUCGAUUCCCGCCGGAGGCG